GAGAAGAGAGUCGCUAUUCAUUGUGCAGAAUGAGGGUCGCUUAUUCCAUAACACGAUAAGUAGUACCACUGGCACUGCAUAGCUAGUUCUAUCGCCAGUACAUAAGCUCAGCUCAGCAAGCUCACUUGAGCGUUAUGUGCUAGGAGAUAGGACGAUUAGAUGAUCUGAGACGAAUGAAGUAUUUCUGUUCUUUCUAGCAAUAUCACCUGUGCACUGUGCAAAUUGGACUUGUGUUGCAUCUUUACUUUGAGCGUUUCAUGACAUGAUGGCCGCGGACGGUGACUUGGAUGCUUUGGCACUUGACGCUCCUUCUGUAACGGCCGCAGACAGGCGAGGUGAAAAGUUUUGACCUACGGAGGCUACAGAUACACCCGGAGCAACAGUUCCAAGACUCGGCUCUAUUGGCGAUGUGCAAGACGGAACUGUGGUGAAACGAUCAUAACGAACCGCUUCGACGUUAAGCAUGAAAAUCCAGAGAUUCAAAUCGAACGAAAACCGAUCGGGGAACACACGCAUGCCCCUGAUGAAGACCAAAUCCUCCGCCGACAAUUUCUUGACGAAGCAACUGCAUUAGUCAAGGAUGAUCCAAGUCAUACGAUAAGGAGGGCAUACAACAUUGUUUUGGAUAGAGGACACCACCAUCGGCCAGGUGUACCAACAUUUCCAGAAAUCAGAAGCCAGCUGCAACGAAUCCGUUUGGCAUGUGUGAAAAGGACAGUACAGCUUCAGUGAAACAGCAUUUCUUCAGUGAAACAGCAUUUCUUAUUGAAAAGUUUAAUCCAUCAUUAAAAACUAACGAAUUAUGCUUGUAUAGUGGUGAAACCUAUGAACGGUUUAAGUUACAGACUUACAGUUCUCUAUUGAAAACGUUACACUUACAACACAUGUAUGCGCUCUGGAGACUUUUUGUAUUAAUCAAACACUAUAACAUGUUUGGUAUAAAUAAUCAUUUGAUAGAGAGAUCAUGUUUGUAUCAUCUAUGUAUGUAUUCAAAAGUAUUUUUCAUGCAUAUUUAUUACGAGGAUAAGUUAAUCCUACCCUUGUUGCUUGUCAUACCAAGUUGUUGUACUGUUAGGACUUAGAGCCAGGUCAGAUUUAAGUCAGGCAGUUGAAAAAGCAAAAAGUAUGUUGGUAUUAUGUAACUGUGUAGUAUGUAGAUAUGCAUUUAAAACAAUGCUGGACAUCUUUUCAGUUUUUCAGGAAUAUGUUAUCGUUGAGUGUUUAUUUUUCUAUUGUUAUGGAACGGUUUAAAUGAAAUUAGGCACACAUGGUGAACUUGAGAUUUCAUUGUGUAAAAUAUGUUUUCCAACUUACUGUUGACUUGCUGUUUGCAUGAUAACCGCCUAAUGUUGCAGAGCAGUCUCAUAUUUCUACUGGUUUGAAUUGCUCUUGGUCCUUGGUAACACAGCGGUAGAGAUAUACAGAGAAAUAGUCUUCUAUUUUUAGAAUAAGCGAUUCGUAUACUUAAUAUAGUAAAUUCCUUUUCAGAGGGAUGAUGGGAUGAAGUAACUGUUAAGCAUUCAUUUCCAUUGCUAUAUGAUCAUACCCCAAAGGUAUUGUUGUAAUUUAUAGACAUAAUAUUUAUGUAAACCAAUAGUCUGUAUUGUGUCUCGCUUUGAGGAAGAUAUGAGAGGUAAUCCGCUUCGAAUAGAAAAAAUAUAAAGGUGUGCUUUUAGGUAAAAAAUUAAAUACCACUUUCAUAAUAAUGACAUAGCAUAGACAUGUGCCUUGAUUUUACUGUCUGAAGUUGAAGUUUUGUGUUUUUAAAAUUGAUCAGCUUAACAUUUUGCAGGACAUAAUAAUGUAAAGCGAAAUCAAUGAUCUUCUUAAUGCUUUUUUUCAUAUAAAUUUGUUUUAUAUAAAA
rnacentral:lncRNA from 1 species